rnacentral:lncRNA from 1 species
CCAGACUGUCAGGAUGAUGAUUAUAACAGUAGUGCUGGUCUCCAGGCUGUCAGGUAGAUGAUUAUAACAGUAGUGUUGGUUUCCAGACUGUCAGGUAGAUGAUUAUAACAGUAGUGUUGGUCCUGGUCUCCAGACUGUCAGGUAGAUGAUUAUAACAGUAGUGUUGGUCCUGUUCUCCAGACUGUCAGGUAGAUGAUUAUAACAGUAGUGUUGGUCUCCAGGCGAUCAGGUAGAUGAUUAUAACAGUAGUGUUGGUCUCCAGACUGUCAGGUAGAUGAUUAUAACUGUAGUGUUGGUCUCCAGACUGUCAGGUAGAUGAGUAUAACAGUAGUGUUGGUCUCCAGACUGUCAGGUAGAUGAUUAUAACAGUAGUGUUGGU